AGUCUUGUUUGGUAGCCAAGGAUGACUUGCCUGCAGCUUCACGCAGAUUUUUCAUCUUUGCAUGAAAUAACGCGGCUAACUAAGGUUUUGAAUAUGUAUGUGGUUUACAGGCAUUCUCCUUGGCUAACGAGACAGGCUCU
rnacentral:pre_miRNA from 1 species